GAUGAACGCUAGCGGCAGGCCUAAUACAUGCAAGUCGAGCGGCAAGUCGAGGAGUAAUCUGAGACCUAGAGCGGCGUACGGGUGCGUAACGCGUAUGCAACCUACCUCAUACAGGGGGAUAGCCCGGAGAAAUCUGGAUUAAUACCCCAUGGCACAGCACAAGGGCAUCUGCGAGCUGUUAAAGAUUCAUCGGUAUGAGAUGGGCAUGCGUCUGAUUAGCUAGUUGGCGGUGUAACGGACCACCAAGGCGACGAUCAGUAGGGGUUCUGAGAGGAAGGUCCCCCA
rnacentral:rRNA from 1 species